CCAAUUUUUUCAACAAAUUCAGGGAAGAUUUGGUCACAUUGAAGAUACAGUAUUUUUGUAGUAUUUAUAAGCUGUCCUAUGUGAUAGACUUUUAGAAAGCAUUUUUUUUAUAUGAAGGUAAACCAGUCCAUUAUAUAGCUCGUUCAGACUCUGUGAACAUUACACCUACUAGGUUUCGAUUUAUCACGUGGCACAGAAUCUGCCUUUGCACUGAGUACCUUUUCAUUCGCAUCUCCUCUGCCUUAGUCACAGUGGCAGCAGUGCAGAAAACUCUCUCAAACCUCAGAAUAUAGUAGAAAUAAUUAAAGCUGUUGAAUGAGUCUUAAAAAUCAUACUACUGUUAAGUGGACCAAGUUUGGUGAAGCAGAAUGUGACAGAGGUUGAUUAAGGAAGGAGCAACUCAAGGACAUUGGGAAUGAUAACUUUUCCACUUGAGAACUACUUUAUGUUUUACUG
rnacentral:lncRNA from 1 species